AAACCAACAGGGAUUGCCUCAGUAACGGCGAAGUGAAGCGGCAAGAAGCUUCAAAUUUUGAAAUUCUGGUACUUUUCAGUGCCCGAGUUGUAAUUUGAAGAUUGUACUCUGGAGUUGGCCCUUAUCUAUGUUCCUUGGAACAGGACGUCACAGAGGGUGAGAAUCCCGUGCGAUGGGGAGCCCGAUUCCAUGUAGAGUGCUCUCGAAGAGUCGAGUUGUUUGGGAAUGCAGCUCUAAGUGGGUGGUAAAUUCCAUCUAAAGCUAAAUAUUGGCGAGAGACCGAUAGCGAACAAGUACAGUGAUGGAAAGAUGAAAAGAACUUUGAAAAGAGAGUGAAAAAGUACGUGAAAUUGUUGAAAGGGAAGGUUAUUAGAUCAGACUUGGUGUUUGGCGAUAUUCAGUCUCUCGUAGACUGUUCACUCGCCCUUCACUGGGCCAGCAUCGGUUUGGGUGGCAGGAUAAUGGCUGUUGAACGUGGCUUCUCCGGAAGUGUUAUAGCUUCAGCUGAUACUGCCUACCUAGACCGAGGACUGCGGCUUCUGCCUAGGAUGCUGGCGUAAUGAUCUAAUAUCGC
rnacentral:rRNA from 1 species